UGAGGAAUUUUCCGCAAUGGGCGAAAGCCUGACGGAGCAAUGCCGCGUGGAGGACGAAAGCCUGUGGGUCGUAAACUCCUUUUCUCAGAGAAGAAGUUCUGACGGUAUCUGAGGAAUAAGCAUCGGCUAACUCCGUGCCAGCAGCCGCGGUAAUACGGAGGAUGCAAGCGUUAUCCGGAAUCAUUGGGCGUAAAGCGUCCUGAGGUGGUUUGUCCAGUCUACUGUGAAAGCUCAGGGCUUAACCUUGAAAAUGCGGUAGAAACUAGCAAGCUAGAGUACAGUAGGGGCAGAGGGAAUUCCCGGUGUAGCGGUGAAAUGCAUAGAUAUCGGGAAGAACACCAAUGGCGAAAGCACUCUGCUGGGCUGAUACUGACACUGAAAGACGAAAGCUAGGGGAGCAAAAGGG
rnacentral:rRNA from 1 species